rnacentral:tRNA from 1 species
CCUUCAAAGCCCUCAGUAAGUAAAAACACUUAAUUUCUG